rnacentral:lncRNA from 1 species
UUACUGAAUAAGAAUCAACUACAUAUUAUUUACCCACUUACCCUGCCUUCCAGUUCAGAAGAUCAAAACCAGAGCCUGGAAGAUGAUAAAAAAAACAAAAACAAAAACAAAAAAAAAAACAAAAAACAAAACGAGACUUAGACAUCUUGAUGUGUUUCCCAGAGACUCUGACAGGGUGCUCAUGGAUGGAGUCUAGAAAGGCUUCUGGGUUUAAUGAUUCUCAGCUGGUGAUACCAUUUUGGGAGAUUACAGAAACUUUCAGAGGUGGGUCCUCACUGGGUGCUGCCUUGAAGAUGAUGUCUCCUCUGCUUCCCAGCUCUUUGCCCUGUCCAGCAUGAGGUAAAGAAGUUCCUUUACCAUACACUUCCUCCGAUAUGUCAUUCUGUCCAGAGCGCCAGCCAAGCAAGCAAGGACCAAACGCUUCAAAAUUGUGAAUCAAAAGAAGACCUUCAGCCAGGCAUUGGUGGCACACACCUUUAAUCCCAGCACUCAGGAAGCAGAGGCAGGAGGAUCUCUGAGAGUUCGAGGCCAGCCUGGUCUACACAGUGAGUUCUAGUACAGCUUCCAAAGCAAUACAGAGAAACCCUGUCUCAAAAAAAACCAAAACAAAACAAAAAACAAAACAAAAAAAAACCCUUCCUCUGCUAAGUUAUUUCUGUCAGUUACCUAGUCACAGCCAUACCAACGUAACUUCCCUAAGUGCUGGCACUGUGCUAGGUCCUCAAGAUUCAGACAGGGUGCUUGUCCUUUCCUAAGUAUUUUUUGUAGAUUAUUUUACAUACUUUUAUUGCUUAUUUUUAUGUGUUUUAUUUACUUAUCUAUUUGCAGCACUAUGGACUGAAUGAAUCUAGGGCUUCUCUCUUGAAACUGAGCUACAUUUCCAUCCCUCAUUUUACUUUUGAUUUUAAGACAGAGUCCCACUAAAUUUCCCAGGCUGACUUUGAACUCACUCUGUAGACCAGACUAACUUUGAACUUUUGGUUUUCCUGCCUUAGUUACAUAAGUAGCUACAACAAUAGGCCUGCACCCUUAGGCCUGGCUAGGCUUUUAAAGACUAAAGCUUUCUUUCUGAAAGAUUCCUAUGAAAUACUGUAAUCAUUUAUCCAAGGUCCACCACAUUCUAGUCUUCUGUUUGAGAAGCUGAUUUACUUUUUGUUGUUGUUUUAAUUAAUUAAAAAUAAUUUUAUACCUCAACUGCAGUUUCUCCUCCCUCCUGUCUUCCCAGGCCCUCUCCCACCCCCUUGCCACCUCCCAUCCUCCCCAUUUCUGUUCAGGAAAGGGCAGCCUCCCUUGGAUAUCAACAAAGCAUGGCAUAUCAAAUUGCAGUAAGACUAAGAAAACCUUCUGAAAACGUACCUAGGCUUGUUGUGAUCCAAUGUAUCACUCCCACAUUGAUAGGUUGAAAACCCAGCUUCCGAGAUCAGAGGAUUGCCUUUAAGAAGCAAUUAGAUUAUGAAGAUUUCACUUCAUGGUCAAGACUAAUGACCUUAUAUUUGAGACCCCAGGGAGCUAGUGAGCAUCUCGUGCCAUGUGGAGCUUCAGUGAGAUGAUGUUCUCAGAGGAAGCAGAGGUUCACCAGAUCCUGAAUCUGCAGAGCCUUGAUCUUGACUUUUUUGACUUCCAGAUAGCUGAGAAAUAAAGUUCUGUUGCUUAUAAGACA